AAUUAAACCCGAUCGAACGGAUGCCCCCAAUUUUUCAUUGGGGCAGAAGGGAGAGCGGGACUGUAG
rnacentral:sRNA from 1 species